rnacentral:rRNA from 1 species
CACCGCCCGUCACACCAUGGAAGUCUGCUGCACCAGAAGUAGGUAGUCUAACCGCAAGGAGGGCGCCUACCACGGUGUGGCCGAUGACUGGGUG